UGGGGAAUAUUGCACAAUGGGCGCAAGCCUGAUGCAGCCAUGCCGCGUGUAUGAAGAAGGCCUUCGGGUUGUAAAGUACUUUCAGCGGGGAGGAAGGCGAUGUGGUUAAUAACCGCGUCGAUUGACGUUACCCGCAGAAGAAGCACCGGCUAACUCCGUGCCAGCAGCCGCGGUAAUACGGAGGGUGCAAGCGCUAAUCGGAAUUACUGGGCGUAAAGCGCACGCAGGCGGUCUGUCAAGUCGGAUGUGAAAUCCCCGGGCUCAACCUGGGAACUGCAUCCGAAACUGGCAGGCUUGAGUCUCGUAGAGGGGGGUAGAAUUCCAGGUGUAGCGGUGAAAUGCGUAGAGAUCUGGAGGAAUACCGGUGGCGAAGGCGGCCCCCUGGACGAAGACUGACGCUCAGGUGCGAAAGCGUGGGGAGCAAACA
rnacentral:rRNA from 1 species